GCUUGUCUGUGCCUCUUCCCCUCCCCCUUUUUCCUGUCUUAUUGUUUAUCCAGCAGGGCGUUGUCCCAGGGACACUGCCAGACCAGUUUAAACUGGCUGCUUUGUCUCUCCUCAAUCUACCAUCAGGCCUUGCUAUUGUCUGACCCCACCCUUCCUUGUACUAUAGUGCUCUAUGUAACCUAUUGUAUGUAAAUGAGGCUGUUGGGGGUUUAAAUGUAUAUAUAAAUUGUAACUGCUGGCUUAAUAUAAUGGUCCUAUGUCGACUGAGUAAAUGAGUGUACAUAUCUUUGG